AUACUAACCUUGCGUAGGGUGUACCGUGAUCACGAAGGCGGUUGCCCCGGAGUGGCGCCCACCAUUGCACUGCGGUGGGAAUAAGCUACUUUGUGACCUAUUCCAAGUGGAAUUCGUCGUACGCACAAUUUUUGAUAGUUGGGACUUGCGUUCUGCGCAGUCCCCC